GCUCGCUUUGGCGGCGUGUAUACAAAUUGGACUGAUCGAGAGGAGAUUAGCAUGGCCCCUGAUCAAAGGUGACACACAAAUUCAUGAAGUGUUCCAUAGGUUU
rnacentral:snRNA from 1 species